rnacentral:tRNA from 1 species
GUACCCGUAGCUCAGUGGAUAGAGUAGCUGGCUACGAACCAGUUGGUCGGGGGUUCGAAUCCCUCCGGGUACA